rnacentral:rRNA from 1 species
ACGAACGCUGGCGGCAGGCUUAACACAUGCAAGUCGAGCGCCCCGCAAGGGGAGCGGCGGACGGGUGAGUAACGCGUGGGAAUCUGCCCUUUGGUGUGGGACAACCACGGGAAACUGUGGCUAAUACCGCAUGAGCCCGAGAGGGGAAAGCCGCAAGGCGCCGAAGGAUGAGCCCGCGUCGGAUUAGCUAGUUGGUAGGGUAACGGCCUACCAAGGCGAUGAUCCGUAGCUGGUCUGAGAGGAUGAUCAGCCACACUGGGACUGAGACACGGCCCAGACUCCUACGGGAGGCAGCAGUGGGGAAUAUUGGACAAUGGGGGAAACCCUGAUCCAGCCAUGCCGCGUGAGUGAUGAAGGCCUUCGGGUUGUAAAGCUCUUUCGGCGGGGACGAUAAUGACGGUACCCGCAGAAGAAGCCCCGGCUAACUUCGU